UGCGGGGUAGAGCAGUGGUUAGCUUGCGAGACUCAUAACCUCGAGGUCGUUCGUUCGAAUCGAACCCCCGCAACCA
rnacentral:tRNA from 1 species